UUUAUUAUGAUACAAUAAAAGAACAGAGAAGUUAUGACGGUGGCUACUUCUGAAAGGUGGUGGUGCUUAUGAAUGUAAGUGCUGAAAUCUUUAGAGAGGAGAAUGCCUUUUGUCCGCAUUGGAAACAAUUCAGCUGAUUUUAAGCUUUGGUAUGUUUACCAUCGCUUUAAUCAAAC
rfam:Enterococcus sp. 4G2_DIV0659 scaffold00004, whole genome shotgun sequence.